rnacentral:lncRNA from 1 species
CUCCCAGUGGUGUGAACAAUUAUAGAACUUAUAAAAAAGAAAUUAAAAAUGACUUCCAAUCAGUCUCACUGUACUUUAUCUGUUGAUUGACUUGUACCACACAGUUACAUAUUUCAUAUAUAGUUUCUGUUAACUUCCCUACAAACUACCGUAUAUUUAUACUGUGCAAAGUUCAGUCUAAUUCUGCCAAGAGGUUUCCUUUUAUACUGUAGUUUUUAAAGUAUUCUUAAUUUUCCCCCCAAGAAUUAAAACACUUUUGUGCCAUCUGCGGUUGUCACUAUGAUAUAAAAUAGCCAAACUAUCGAUUCCAGAAUGAACUGGAAGAGGAAUUCUACAGAAAUGGGAUUUGAUGCCCUGUUAUGUAUAAACAGCAGUGAUUCCCACCCUAAAUUAUCUUUGAAUCCAACUUGUAUUGCCACUAAUGCAACUUGCUUUUAGAACGAAGUUUUCCUCCCUCCACAUUGUUUAUGGGAUUUUGAAAUUCCUGCAUUGAAGGAGAUUGGACUAGAUAGCCCUUGGUGUCCCUUCCGACUCUACCACUAUGAUUCUAUGACUUCUGGAGGGCCACAGGCUUCCCAUCCUUAUUCCAGCUAGUGCAUCUACCCAUUUUUGGGAAGUGACGUUUCCUCAGCAUUCCCACUGCAACAUGGAGUUAUUGGGAGGAAAUGUGAUGUCUCUUGUUGUUGUUGUUUAGUCGUUGUCAUGUCCGACUCUUCGUGUCCGACACUUCGUGACCCCAUGGACCAGAGCACGCCAGGCACUCCUUUGAGAACACUGUCCAACCAUCUCAUCCUCUGUUGUCCCCUUCUCCUUGUGCCCUUUCCCAACAUCAGGGUCUUUUCCAGGGAAUCUUCUCUUCUCAUGUGGUAUUGGAGCCUUGGCUUCAGGAUCUGUCCUUCCAGUGAGCACUCAGGGCUGAUUUCCUUCAGAAUGGAUAUGUUUGAUCUUCUUGCAGUCCAUGGGACUCUCAAGAGUCUCCUCCAGCGCCAUAAUUCAAAAGCAUCAAUUCUUCGGCGAUCAGCCUUCUUUAUGGUCCAGCUCUCACUUCCAUACAUCACUACUGGGAAAACCAUAGCUUUAACUAUAUGGAUGUGAUAAAUGUGAUGUCUCUACCAUCCAGCAAUUGUACCCAUUACAUUGAGAAGGAGCUCAGGCUGGAUCUAUGGAGACAACCGUCUUCCAGGCAUCAUGUGGGCACAGGGAUGUUUACGGUGAGAAAGCAAACCUGGUGCAGAUUUCAGAUGGUGCAACUCCAGCAGGUAGGUAGAUGUCUCACCUUGGGAUCACUACACUUGAACCACCAUGUGAUGCUAAAUUGUCACCAAGACAUGAGAGGCAACGUUUUGAAGGCUUGUGUGUGGCAAGGUUGACCCAUGGCUCCUGUUAUCCAUUGACUAGCAUCUAUUGCAUGCUGUGUGAGUCAACCAGCCCUUUCUUCAGCACUGCUGAGGAGACAUCAGAAAUCAGCCAUGUCUUCUUCUCCACCAUGUCAUCACUUCUCCACCAAGGACAUAACUGCCUUCAUUUCCAUGGAAUACAUUUGCCAUCUCUUUGAGGCGGAAAUACAUUUGUGGUUGAGAAUGGGCAAAGGUUGCUGUCUUUCAGCUAAUCUUUAGUCCUCAUCCUGUCCUAAUUUCAUGGAUCAAUAGCAGGCCUGCAUCCUGAAAAUCGAAUAAGGGUCUCAUUGGAAUGCACAUACAUAAAAGAUUUCACCAGCAGCUGUAAAACGAGUUUUAACAUAAUCCAAGAAAAAAAAAGAAAAAAAGGGGGGGGGGGAGUUGCAAAAGAUGUAGACAAGGGCAAGGUAUAUUUUUCUGUGAUCAAAACAUUUCAAAACAGUUCCCAUUAAAUUAGUAAGCUUGAUGUAGGACAGGGUUAGCCAAUGUUGUGCCCAGACAGCAUUGCCCAUGGCUGACGUCCAAAACAUUUUAAUAGCAUUUUAAUAGCUGUAGUCCAAAAUAUGUGCACAGCAGCCUGUUGGCUAUCACUGAUGUAAGGGCUAGCAUCCCUACAAUGGAUGGUAUGGGAACAUAAGACUGAUGCUUUCAAGUAUGGAGGGAGCAAAAGGAGGGAGCACGUUAUCAUCUGCCUGAAAUUUCCAGUGGAAGAAGGUAUGAGCAAAAUCGAUGGAUGAUUUAGCGCAGAACUGAAAUACAUUUGCCUCAAGUGAUAUUCCUCAGAAUUAUCUUCUAAAAACUUUGCUGGCAAAUAUUCACCGGAUGUGUGACUAUUUCAGGAGCAUUUCAUAGCUCAGCAUCGACAUUUGACAUAUAAAUAUAUUUGAUACUUCAUUGGAACAGCUGUUAUUAAUUGACAGUUGGUAUAUAGGAUAACUGUCUUAUUGUAUAUUUUAAAUAGGGACAUUUUUAACGUUUUGAUGGUUUUAUCACAUGAUUUUAAUUAUGUAUGGAUUUCAUAAUUGAUUUUAUGCUUGCAAACCACUUAGCAGCCAUCCUGGCAUGUAUGCAGCAAAUAAAUAAUAAAACAAUGUCCUGCCCAAAGAGAGAAUUAAAAUUGUUCCAAAAAUGGCUUCCAAUAGACAAAUGAAGUUAAUUAUUAUUGGUCUGUGCAUAAUGAUUGGAAAGCAUUAGCGGAACACUACUUUCACAUUAGACAUACCGUAUUUUUCCGUGUGUAAGACUAGGUUUUUUCCCUAAUAAAUUAUGUCAAAAAU